AAAAAGUUAGCAAGAGUUCUUUCGUAAUUAUUGUUUAUACGCAAAUUAGGGAAGGCCGUAGAAGCGGCCACAGUCCCGCUGCUGUAGGAGGGGACGAAAUCCUGCAAGUAAGCCACUGUCCGCCACAAAACUUGGCGGAUGGGAAGGCGCAGUGAAAGUAGGAAGAUCCUCUAAGUCAGAAGACCUGGGCGUAUAAAAUUGUCUAA
rnacentral:ncRNA from 2 species